rnacentral:rRNA from 1 species
GAUGAACGCUGGCGGCGUGCCUAAUACAUGCAAGUCGAGCGAACAGACGAGGAGCUUGCGCCUCUGACGUUAGCGGCGGACGGGUGAGUAACACGUGGAUAACCUACCUAUAUGACUGGGAUAAUUUCGGGAAACCGGAGCUAAUACCGGAUAAUAUAUUGAACCGCAUGGUUCAAUGGAGAAAGACGGCUUUGCUGUCUCUAAUAGAUGGAUCCGCGCCGCAUUAGCUAGUUGGUAAGGUAACGGCUUACCAAGGCUACGAUGCGUAGCCGACCUGAGAGGGUGAUCGGCCACACUGGAACUGAGACACGGUCCAGACUCCUACGGGAGGCAGCAGUAGGGAAUCUUCCGCAAUGGGCGAAAGCUUGACGCAGCAACGCCGCGUGAGUGAUGAAGGUCUUCGGAUCGUAAAACUCUGUUAUUAGGUAAGAACAGAUGUGUAAGUAACUAUGCACGUCUUGACGGUACCUAAUCAGAAAGCCCCGGCUAACUACGUG